rnacentral:tRNA from 1 species
GCGGGCGUGGCGGAAUCGGUAGACGCACAGGACUUAAAAUCCUGAGAUCGCAAGAUCGUGGGGGUUCAAGUCCCCCCGCCCGCACCA